GGAUUGGAAAUUGAACACAAUGCAGUAGGGAAUGAAUCUAUUGUCUAGUUUUCACCUUUUUGAAAACAGAAAUGAGAUGUCACGUGUUACAACAGCAUUGUUUUGAAGAUAUGUAGUUUACAGAAAAAGACAUCAACUUUUCUUCACCCAGCAGAUACCAGUACCCAGCAACCUUCAGUGUACUCAUUCUCAUGGUUCCUUAUGGAGGGUAAGGGCCAGGGGACUAUGAAGGGAAGAGGAGGAAAGUUCACAGGUUCCUUACGGAGGAUGAGCAGCUCCUUCAAACGCACUUCAUUUAAGGGCUCAGCAUCUGGAUCACAAAAGCUUUCUGUGUAUGGUGCUGUUUCCUGGAAAUCAGAGGGGCUAUUCAUCACUGCAACUUGUGCCUAAGUGGUCUCAGAAUCAAGAGUUAAGCAAAUGCCUUCAUGUUAAAGGUUGGAUGUGAGUAGUCUAGGUGGGAGAGGAGCUCAAGCAAUCAGCACGUGGUGGUAGGGCUGGCAUGGAAUUGGUACUGCUCUUGCCUUGGGUCAUCAGUGUUUUUUUUUUCUCAUUGUUACAACUUGCCUUUGAUGUCAGUUGUACUUAAGUAAAAUACACAGUUUGAUGCUAUUUUUGCUGUAUAAAGCCCCUUCAAACACACUCAAAAAUAAAGGAGAGAGGGAGGAUUGUGAAACAUUUGUAGUGUUCACUGCUGCAAUGCAAAAUUUAAGUGUUCCAAUAAGUCAUGCUCACAACAGUUUACCACAUUACAAAAACACUUAUCAGUGAAUUUUUGCCAAAAAUAACCCGUUUCCUUCAUGCUUCUCACAGGAUGCAGCAGAUGUUGCACUAUCAACAGAUAAAAUAAGCUGUGUCAGUUUUCUUCUGUUCUGCUUUAAAGAUAUUCUUUCCAACUCUGACUACUUGACACGCUCUAGAGGAAUGCUGCAGAUGUGUUCAGAGAUGAACCUGGGCAAUAAAGAAGGAUGUUUUUUUUUAGUUAUGUGUACACUUAUGUCACUUAGAGAAAAAGUGCAGUAGUAAUAUUUGAAAGUGGAAAAAAGCUGUCAAAUUUAUUUUGCAGUCCUGACCAUAGAAAAGCACUCAUUCCCUGCAUAAAAGGCAGUAUAUUCUUUUUUGAAAGGAACUCUGUGUUUUCAGUGGAAUGCAGACGGAGAACUUCUACAAAGGAGAGAGUAAGGGGAAUGCUUUUUGCCUCUGCACUCUGUGGUUUUGUCAGGUCCUACUCAAGGUAAUAAUAAAUUUGCUGGGGAUAAUAGCCUGUAUUUCAGACUAAGCAGACAAUUCCUUUGCCUAUCCACACCCAUUUUCUACAAGACUUAAUGCAUUUCAAAACCAGUAUCCUACUUUAUUGGAAUAAGCCUUUUCUCGUGGAUUACACCAUUGAUUGAUUCCACUUGAAGACUUUUGACCAAAUACUAUCCAUUGCCUCCCUGGAAGUAUAGUUAGAGUGUAGUUAGAGAUACUUUGAGUCUAGUUUAACAAUUCAGUCCUGCACACAGGACCGAUCUGAGCCCUGGACACUAAGGUACACUUAUCUAUUUCUUUUGCCUUUGAGUUUUCCAAACAGUCCACUUACAGUCCAGUUACAGAUUUGGCAGUGGCAUCAGGUGGUAUCUAUUGAAUCAGAAUCAGUUGAGACGUUCACUUUUUAGAAAUGAUUAAAUUUUUGAAUAAUGAAGAGAUCUGCAGUUAAACGGUUGAUUUUGUCUUUUCAUAUGUGCUACUGCUUCGCAGGAUUAAUUUUGUCACCAAUCAAAGCCUUACAAUGAAUGGUCGUGAAUUUUACUGCUACAGAACAGUAUUUUCAGGAAGGUUAUGAAUAAAUAACCCUAUUCCAUUUUCACGUGAACAAGCUUGUCAUAAGCAGUCUAUCCCUUCAUCUUUGUCCAUCUCAGACUGAAUCUCUGUGAGCUUAUGUUUCCUCUUGGGCUAUCAUGCUAUUUCUCAUCUAUUCUGACAUCUGUGUAUGUGACGUUUGUAUUAAUACUCAUCACAAGUUCUAGUAUUUCAGUAGUGUCGCAUUCUGUGAAAUAUUGGUUACUGGUUUAAGUUUUAAUACAGCUAUGAAAAAAUACAGGAUUCUUUGAGCUACAGUUUAUCUACCUUCGUGUAAGACAAUACUAUUAGUUACAUAAAGUGUGUGAGCCAUCAAAUCUUCCAGCCUAAGCGUAUUGUUACAUUUACUAUUCACAUGUAAGUGUAACUGAUUACCCUGAUAGAUCUAGAUUUGCAUCAGUUGUAAUAGUAAUAAUAAAGACUGUGUUGCUUUU
rnacentral:lncRNA from 7 species